ensembl:lncRNA
CGCAGCAACUGGAGAGUGUUCCUGUAAAGUGCGCUUCUUUUAUUAAAUGCGGCUGUCUCAGUUCGUACUUUUGUUGGGAUUCACAGAAAAAGAAGAAGUGUUGUAAGAAAUGAAGACUGGUGUGAUUUAAAGCGGAUCAGAAGCGGCUUCGUGUGUCUGUCCCGUUGUUAUGGAGCAGCCUCCUGGGACAGCAGACGACCUCCAGACACCCCAGGACCUGUCCACUUCCAGCCUGCCUGCUGUGGUAGACCUGACCAAGAGAGGAGGAGAAUGUCCCAUGAUCAGGAGGACCUCCAGCUGGUACCAGACCACAGACCCGGGCAACACUGGACCCUCAUAUCCAGACAUUGCCCCAUGCACUGUCCAGUCAGGAGGCCAGAUCCAGCCUGAUAAUGCCUUCUCCCACACCACAGUCACAUUGUCCUACGUGAGCCGGUCUCAUGUCUUCUCCACUCAAGACUCCCUGUCUGGGACAUCUUCUGUGUAUGGUGUCCCCACAUUCAGCAAAUACUCGCUUCAGCCUCCAUGUGAGAUUGGAGAGAAGAACAUGACAUUAACUCAGCCUUAUCUGGAGAACAUGGAUGGACCUGGUGAUCUAGCUGCACACACACAUCUUCUCCAGUCGCUCUCUCAGGAGCAGUUGGAGGUUGAUGUGGGGACAAAUAUGAAACAGACUUCAGAGUUGAAUGGGACAUCACAGAUGGACACUUCAGAGCAACACAGUGUUGACAGCUGUGAACGUUUACAAAAUGGUGGGGACAUUUGGUUUAGUGAAUCCUUACAAGAUGGUUCCACACCCUUACCUGAGUGCCCUACAGCCUUACAAGAAUCAGAGAGCUCCAAUUCUUCAAGCAAAAACAUGGAACAUUUCGGAGACAAUCAUUCCUUACAAAAUUGUCCCACCUUCACAACAGAAUUCCAUCAGUCUGUACAUUGUUCGGAUUCCAUACAAGAUAGUUCUACAUUAGCAUCGGACUGUUUACAAGAACAUCCAAAAUUCUUGCCUGGGUUUUCGGAGUUGAUGUCGAAGCAGGUUUUUGAAAAAUCACCUCAAACGUAUGAGGAGUCCUCUGCACCCUUGGGAGAGGGCAAUGACUCCUUACAAGUGUGCCAAGAAACGGAAAACCUUGUGGAUUCUUUACAAAAAGACAAAGAGAAUGUUUUGGACGGGGACAGUCCAGAGCUAGGUACUGUAUCAUCUCUACAUCAUAAGGCAGUGAAUACACAACUGGGUGAUGUCAUCAGCCCUUCGGAAGACCUUGUGUCCCCUUCUGCUACCUCAUUGAAUGAAAUAGAUGAUGUCUUCAUACUUCCGGAAGCCUCCUGUUCACCAAGCAGAGACAAUUCAUUUCUAGAGACAACGGACGAUCUUUCAAGUACUCAAGACACCAUCCAAC